rnacentral:rRNA from 1 species
CAAUAGCGUAUAUUAAAGCUGUUGCGGUUAAAAAGCUCGUAGUUGGAUUUCUGUCAAGGACAACUGGUCCGCCCCUCGGGUGAGCACAUAGUUUGGUCUUGGCAUCUUGUUGGAAACUGUUGCUGCACUUGGUUGUGUGGCGCAGUGUCCAGCACUUUCACUUUGAGGAAAUUGGAGUGUUUCAAGCAGGCACAUGCCUUUGGACACAGUAGCAUGGAAUAAUUAGAUUGGGCUUUUGCUCCAACUUGUCGGUUUCUGGAGCUGAGGUGAGAAUUAAUGGGGAUUGUUGGGGGCAUCCGAAUUUAGCCGUCAGAGGUGAAAUUCUUGGAUCUGCUAAGGACGGACAACUGCGAAAGCGUUUGCCCAGGAUGUUUUCAUUGA